rnacentral:tRNA from 1 species
GGGCUUGUAACUCAGAGGAUAAGAGUACGCGUUUCCGAAGCGUGAAGGCGAGGGUUCAAUUCCCUCCUAGCUCA